rnacentral:rRNA from 1 species
GUUGAACGCUGGCGGCAGGCUUAACACAUGCAAGUCGAGCGGGGUGAUGGUGCUUGCACUAUCACUUAGCGGCGGACGGGGGAGUCAGGCUUAGGAAUCUGCCUAUUAGUGGGGGACAACAUCUCGAAAGGGAUGCUAAUACCGCAUACGUCCUACGGGAGAAAGCAGGGGAUCACUUGUCACCUUGAGCUAAUAGAUGAGCCUAAGUCGGAUUAGCUAGUUGGUGGGGUAAAGGCCUACCAAGGCGACGAUUUGUAGGGGGUCUGAGAGGAGGAUCCGCCACACUGGGACUGGGAAACGGCCCAGAAUUCUACGGGGGGCAGCAGUGGCGAAUAUUGGACAAUGGGGGGAACCCUGAUCCAGCCAUGCCGCGUGUGUGAAGAAGGCCUUAUGGUUGUAAAGCACUUUAAGCGAGGAGGAGGCUCUUUUGGUUAAUACCCAAGAUGAGUGGACGUUACUCGCAGAAUAAGCACCGGCUAACUCUGUGCCAGCAGCCGCCGUAA